UAGUAAUAGCAACUUCUUCAUGGGUUGUUUGAAGAAUUUAUUGACACAACUCACAUAAAGCACUUAGGAUGGAAACUGGUGUCUUAGCAUGGAACCUUAGCAUGGAACCUGGUAUCUUAGCAUGGAACCUUAGCAUGGAACCUGGUAUCUUAGCAUGGAACCUGGUGUCUUAGCAUGGAACCUUAGCAUGGAACCUGGUGCCUUAGCAUGGAACCUGGUAUCUUAGUAUGGAAACUUAGCAUGGAACCUAGUGCCUUAGCAUGGAAUCUUAUCAUGGAACCUGGUGUCUUAGCAUGGAAUCUUAUCAUGGAACCUGGUGCCUUAGCAUGGAACCUUAGCAUGGAACCCUAGCCUGGAACCCGGUGCCUUAGCAUGGAAUCUUAGCAUAAAACCUGGUGCCUUAGCAUGAAGACUGGUGUCUAAUUGCUUAAUAAAUGAUAACCACUA
rnacentral:lncRNA from 10 species